rnacentral:rRNA from 1 species
CCUACGGGUGGCAGCAGUGGGGAAUAUUGGGCAAUGGAGGCAACUCUGACCCAGCAACGCCGCGUGAGUGAUGAAGGUCUUCGGAUUGUAAAACUCUUUAAGUGGGGACGAAGAAAGUGACUGUACCCACAGAAUAACCCUCGGCUAACUAGGUGCCAGCAGCGGCGGUAAUACGUGGGAGGCAAGGGUUAGCCGGAAUGAUGGGGCGGAAAGGGUGGGUAGGGGGUUUGACAAGUUAGUAGCGUAAUUCCGGGGCUCAACUUCGGAACUACUACUAAAACUGUUGGGCUUGAGUGCAGGAGAGGUGAAUGGAAUUCCUAGGGUAGCGGUGGAAUGCGUAGAUAUUAGGAGGAACACCAGCGGCGAAAGCGAUUCACUGGACUGUAACUGACACUGAGGCACGAAAGCGUGGGGAGCAAACAGGAUUAGAUACCCGAGUAGUC